CCCUUAGAUGUUCUGGGCCGCACGCGCGCUACACUGAUGCAUUCAACGAGUCUAAAACCUGCUCUGAUAGGGGUGGGUAAUCUUUUGAAUGUGCAUCGUGAUUGGGAUAGAUGAUUGCAAUUUUUCAUCUUCAACGAGGAAUGCCUAGUAAGCGCGAGUCAUCAGCUCGCGCUGAUUACGUCCCUGCCCUUUGUACACACCGCCCGUCGCUACUACCGAUUGGAUGGCUUAGCGAGAAUUUUGGAUCGGAGCCCGGGUGGUCGGCAACGGUCGCCCGGGAGAUCUGAGAAAUCAUUCCAGCUUGGUCAUCUAGAGGAAGUAAAAGUCGUAACA
rnacentral:rRNA from 1 species